rnacentral:lncRNA from 1 species
UGAAGAGGAAACAGUGACCUUUCUCCUUCGGCUGCAGCCCUGUUGCCCAAGCUCAGGGCAACCCCUGAGCCCUGAUCCCAAGGGAGGCAGUGCCGCCUUCUCCUCUAGGCCUGGCAGUUCCAGGGUGACAGGAAGGUCACGAUAUCUCUGUUUGGGUGCACUGCAGCCUCCGCUUCCUGCCAGGACCAGGCUGUAUCAGGCACUGGGAUGAAGAAAACAUUCCAAGCAAUGGGCUGGCCUAGAAGACUCUCCAGGUCAUGAUGUGACCAAGGUUGCCCCUUGCCACUCCCAGCUUUAUUCUCACCAGCUCAGCAACCCCAGGGAAAAGGGAGCACCAAUUUCCAAUUGUUUCAGAACAAGGAAACUAUUGCUGCAUCCCAAGAGUCCCGCAUGCAGUAGCUCAUCAACUGGUCACAAGGACGUUAGAGAACAGACCUCAGGAGCGCACAUGCACAGAGG